ensembl:lncRNA
GCUCUGUAAUGGUGGUGUAAUGUGUGUGUGUGUGUGUGUUUGUGUGUGAUAGAUGGGCCAUCAGGGCUUAUAAAGGGUCUGGGACAUUUCAGCCAGUUCACAUCAGCGAGCCAGUGUAAUUUACAGAAGGCUGGGAAAUAGCAGGGCGCUGAGCAGAGGGGGAGACACUCAAUGUUUUCACCACAGGAGGAAGAGGGAGAGAGAGAAAGAAAAAAAGAAAGAGAGAAAUAAAGAAAUAAAAAGAGAAUGAGAGAGAGGUCCCUCAGUCCAGCAGUGAAUUUCAAACAGAGAUUCAACCACAAAGACCAGGGAGGCUUUCCAAUGCAUCGCAAAGAAGGUCACCUACAGUAUUGAUCAAUUUUAAAACAAUUUUAAAACAUACAUUGUAUUUAUAUACAAUACCAGUCAAAAGUUUUGAAACACCUACUCAUUCAAAGGUGUUUCUUUAUGUUUGACUAUUUUCUACAUUGUAGAAUAAUAGUGAAGAC